rnacentral:rRNA from 1 species
AAUCAACGCUGGCGGCGUGCCUAACACAUGCAAGUCGAACGAGAAAGUGGGGGCAACUCCAUGAGUACAGUGGCAGACGGGUGAGUAACACGUGAACAAUCUACCCUCGAGUGGGGAAUAACACCGCGAAAGCGUUGCUAAUACCGCAUAACAUCUCCGGAUCGCAUGAUCUGGAGAUCAAAAGCGAAAGUUGCUCGAGGAGGAGUUCGCGCCUGAUUAGCUAGUUGGUGAGGUAACGGCCCACCAAGGCAACGAUCAGUAGCCGGCCUGAGAGGGCGAACGGCCACACUGGAACUGAGACACGGUCCAGACUCCUACGGGAGGCAGCAGUGGGGAAUUUUGCGCAAUGGGCGAAAGCCUGACGCAGCAACGCCGCGUGGAGGAUGAAGGCCUUCGGGUCGUAAACUCCUGUCAGUGGGGACGAAUGCUUCGCAAGAAGUUUGACUGUACCCGCUGAGGAAGCCACGGCUAACUCCGUGCCAG